AGGAGGAUAAAGUGACUUGUAUAAGAUGACAGAGGUUCAGGGCAGGCUAAACAUUCGCUAUAUUAAGAUCAUGCAUGUGUCCCCAGACCUAGUUCUUUUCUUAGGUUUGGUUGUAUAAAUGCUGGUGAUAAAG
rnacentral:snoRNA from 1 species